AAGAAGCACCGGCUAACUCCGUGCCAGCAGCCGCGGUAAUACGGAGGGUGCGAGCGUUAAUCGGAAUUACUGGGCGUAAAGCGCAUGCAGGUGGUUUGUUAAGUCAGAUGUGAAAGCCCGGGGCUCAACCUCGGAACUGCAUUUGAAACUGGCAGACUAGAGUACUGUAGAGGGGGGUAGAAUUUCAGGUGUAGCGGUGAAAUGCGUAGAGAUCUGAAGGAAUACCGGUGGCGAAGGCGGCCCCCUGGACAGAUACUGACACUCAGAUGCGAAAGCGUGGGGAGCAAACAGGAUUAGAUACCCUGGUAGUCCACGCUGUAAACGAUGUCUACUUGGAGGUUGUGGCCUUGAGCCGUGGCUUUCGGAGCUAACGCGUUAAGUAGACCGCCUGGGGAGUACGGUCGCAAGAUUAAAACUCAAAUGAAUUGACGGGGGCCCGCACAAGCGGUGGAGCAUGUGGUUUAAUUCGAUGCAACGCGAAGAACCUUAC
rnacentral:rRNA from 1 species